rnacentral:rRNA from 1 species
UGGGGAAUUUUGGACAAUGGGCGCAAGCCUGAUCCAGCAAUGCCGCGUGAGUGAAGAAGGCCUUCGGGUUGUAAAGCUCUUUCAGUCGAGAAGAAAAGAUUACUGAUAAUACCAGUAAUCCAUGACGGUAUCGACAGAAGAAGCACCGGCUAACUACGUGCCAGCAGCCGCGGUAAUACGUAGGGUGCGAGCGUUAAUCGGAAUUACUGGGCGUAAAGGGUGCGCAGGCGGUUAUGUAAGUCAGAUGUGAAAUCCCCGGGCUUAACCUGGGAACUGCGUUUGAAACUACAGGACUAGAGUGUGGCAGAGGGGGGUGGAAUUCCAUGUGUAGCAGUGAAAUGCGUAGAGAUAUGGAAGAACAUCGAUGGCGAAGGCAGCCCCCUGGGUUAACACUGACGCUCAUGCACGAAAGCGUGGGGAGCAAACAGGAUUAGAUACCCUGGUAGUCCCUGAGCGGGCUGGCAAGGCGCAU